rnacentral:rRNA from 1 species
CCUACGGGAGGCAGCAGGGGGGAAUAUUGGACAAUGGGGGCAACCCUGAUCCAGCAAUGCCGCGUGUGUGAUGAAGGCCUUAGGGUUGUAAAGCACUUUCACUGGUGAAGAUGAUGACGGUAACCAGAGAAGAAGCCCCGGCUAACUUCGUGCCAGCAGCCGCGGUAAU